GUUUGGUGUUACUUAACAGACAUGGGCAUCAGCACCGUCAUUGCUCUCCUUGGCCAGCUGAGGGAGGAAAACUGACUGCUUACUAUUUUUCAGAUUCACCGUCUUCAGAAACCCCGCCAGGCCCUUUCCUUCACAGCCAGCCACUAACCCAUGAUUCACCCCAGCCACGUCACCGCUUCCAUUAAGUCAAAGAGGAAAUCAAUCAAUCAACAUGAAAAUUGUAAAUUUAGAACAGAAAUUUAAAUUAAGGCGCACCUUGUAGUGAACUAAAUUGUACUCUCUGAUAUUUCAGCCACACCUCUGCCAUCGCAACAGGGGAACAAUCAGUUGCUGCGUGACAUGGGCAUCAGCACAGUCAUCGCUCUCCUUGGCCAGCUGAGGGAGGAAAACAGGGAGCUGAAGGGGGAAGUAGGAAGGCUGGCGCAAGAGGUCAGGGCCCUAAGGAGAGAGAUGGGGAGACAAGACACACCCCAGACAUCGCCCCUAAUCAAGCUCCCACUCUCCACCAUGGAGGAGUUUUUGGCAGCAGAGGCCCUGGUGAAGGAAGAUGCCAAACAAAAGCAGCUAAUGGUGUCUACCUUAGCCCUUUGUGGAGGAACCA